GUUACACUGUGAUCGCUGGGCUCAGAGGAGCGAUCAUGUGAUGUCUGAUCACAUGACACAUCACAGGUCCCGGAAGCCCUAGAAUACUGUGUGUUUUAGUGAUUGCACGCAGGCGCAGUGCAUUUGUAUACAAGCUAACGGCGCCAUCUUCAAACACAGAGCGGGGAGCAUUCACAUAUCUGGAUUCCUGUUCUGCCUAUUCAUGAAGGAUUCGUUGGCGUUUCUGAACUUGUUUACCACAUAAAGAAGACGGAAGAGAAGAUCGAGAAGAGCGCCCCUCCGUUAUCUCUGCCACUCCAAAGAAAGUUUAUUACAAUUUGAACAAAUUGAGAUCUACAUUUUCAGUGACCAGAAUGAUAUGGAACAAAGCACGUCCUCUGGGUCAAAUUAAUUUAGGAAACCACAUUUCACCAUCUAGCCGGCAAUAAAAUGCACCGCUACAUUCUGUAUAUUAAAUACGUUGGUAUUUUACAUGAAGAUUGAAGAGAUGGUCUACCAUGCCGUAAAGAAUGGAAUCGUCGGAACGGACUUGUAUCAGUUAUGACAAAGGAAAAUCAAAUAUAGCAUAGAAGAAAGCCGCGGAUGUGAAGGCUCAUUUGUUGAAUGGUUAACAUUAAUUUGUCUGCUAUAUAUGCCUCAUUGCCCUAAUGUAACUUACACUAGUGGAUUAUAAGGAUGUAUGAGUAUAUUUAUCAGCAGUUAACUAAACCUCAAGGUUUAAAAAGGUAGGAAUAAUUGAUGAAUAUGCUGUAGUUCAUCUAAAGCCAUUUCAUCUGAUACUUUCUUUUUCCUUGUUUUUCAUCUAAGUUGGUCAGUGAGGAAAUCUGGUGAUGUUUCCUUUAUAAUCUUCCUGUCUAAAAUGAUAAAACUGGUAUAUUACUGAGCAGCAGACUAUGCUAUUGGUCAUCUUGAAAACUUUUCAUAUAGACAAGACCCUUUUGUAUUCCCUAUUAGGGAUCAUGGACAUUAUAGAGUGGUAGGGGGACUUCUGACCUGGGCCCCAUCUGUAUGAACCAGAGUCCCAAACAAUGACCAGUACUGGUCUGGCUGACUUGGUCUAUUCCCUUUUUUUACAUGGUUGACCUUUUAAAUAAAUAAAUAGAAUCUAUUCAUUCAGGGAAAUGUAUGAUUGUCCACAGCUUCAUAAAGCGAUAACAGAUGAUUCCCUGAUGUUCCUAAAGGUAGAUCAACAGCAAUAAUUUGAUGGUCGAAUGGCCUUGUUCUGAAAAGUGAAACCUCUACAAAAGACCACUCUUGGAGAAGACCAUCUUCUUUGUCAAGAUCCGAUUUCCUUCAAUAGAUUUGUCUUAUACUACUACAUACUAUGCAACAAUUCCAGUAGUGAACAAUUAAGUGUUAUGUCUUCUACAUAGAACUUAUGUACAGUUAUCAGUUGACUCCCCCUCUCUUGCUUCAGACUGGCUGUACAAUAAAUCUAUCUAUGGAC